GCCAUAUAAUAUAUUUUCAGAGACACAAACACUCAGUGCUGAGAUGACCUCUUUCCAUCACCUUUGACUGAUGGCA